rnacentral:rRNA from 1 species
CGACCGGCGCACGGGUGCGUAACGCGUAUGCAACCUACCUUUAACAGGGGGAGUAACACUGAGAAAUUGGUACUAAUACCCCAUAAUAUCAUAGAAGGCAUCUUUUAUGGUUGAAAAUUCCGAUGGUUAGAGAUGGGCAUGCGUUGUAUUAGCUAGUUGGUGGGGUAACGGCUCACCAAGGCGACGAUACAUAGGGGGACUGAGAGGUUAACCCCCCCACACUGGUACUGAGACACGGACCAG